rnacentral:rRNA from 1 species
GUAGGGAAUAUUGGGCAAUGGUCGGAAGACUGACCCAGCCAUGCCGCGUGCAGGAAGACGGCCCUCUGGGUUGUAAACUGCUUUUAUCUGGGAAGAAAAAGGCCAUGCGUGGCAAAUUGCCGGUACCAGAUGAAUAAGCACCGGCUAACUCCGUGCCAGCAGCCGCGGUAAUACGGAGGGUGCGAGCGUUGUCCGGAUUUAUUGGGUUUAAAGGGUGCGUAGGCGGCUAUUAAGUCAGCGGUGAAAGACUUCGGCUUAACCGGAGCAGUGCCGUUGAUACUGGUGGGCUUGAGUGUCGGAGGGGUACAUGGAAUUGAUGGUGUAGCGGUGAAAUGCAUAGAUACCAUCAGGAACACCGAUAGCGAAGGCAUUGUACUGGCCGACAACUGACGCUGAUGCACGAAAGUGUGGGGAUCGAACAGGAUUAGAAACCCUUGUAGUCC